CAAUAGCGUAUACUAAUGUUGUUGCAGUUAAAAGCUCGUAGUUGGAUUUCUGGGAUUUUCAGCCGGCCGGCUCUUAGGAGUUGUAGCUAGGUUUGCAAGUCUCAUCUUCUCACAAUUCUCACUGGCCUUAACUGUUCGGUGCAGAGGACUGAGUCGUUUACUUUGAGAAAAUUAGAGUGUUCAAAGCAGGCUAUCGCCUUGAAUAUAUUAGCAUGGAAUAAUGAUAUAGGACUUUGGUUCUAUUUUGUUGGUUGUUCGAGGACCGAAGUAAUGAUUGAUAGGGACGGUUGGGGGCGUCAGUAUUCUGAAGCGAGAGGUGAAAUUCUUGGACCUUCGGAAGACUAACAACUGCGAAAGCAUUCGCCUAGGAUGUUCUCUUUAAUCAAGAACGAAAGUUGGGGGAUCGAAGACGAUUAGAUACC
rnacentral:rRNA from 1 species